CUGUGGGGGUGGUGUUUACAAUUGAGGUCGAGCACCAGUCGGAGGACGUGGGUGGUCAUCAUCCUACUCUGGAUCACCUAGUCCACGCAAGUUACUUCGGAGAUCAAGGAGUCGUAGCCCGAGAAGGCCCAUUAAAGGAAGAAGUAGUAGCAACAGCAGCCGCAGUAGUUCGCCACUACUGCCUCGUAAACCAUAGGUAAGCACUGCCUCUCUAUAUCCCCAAAUCCCCCUUGCCCUCCCCUCCCCACCCCUCCCCUGCCUUUCCCCCUCCCAACCUCCAAAAAAAGAAUCUGAGUUAUGUAUUAUGUAAUGUCAAGGUGGUAUUGAAUAUGAGAACAAGAUAUUGUGGCUGUAAUAUGCUCCUGAUUGUAGCACUUAGGUUUGUCUCAGUUAUGGUGACCAUUAGGUUUGUCUCAUUUAUGUUGGAGGCAAUGUUAAGCACUGGUUAUUUGCUGUUUUUUUUUCAAAAAUUAUUUAAGCUAAACAUUCUGAUGGAAGAAACAAUAUGCAAAAGUUGUAUUCUUGCUUUUAUGAAUGCUACAUGUACAUUUUGUAUGAUUAAUAUUGUUAGUAAGUGUGCGGAAACAUGCAGAUCCUUUAUUCAAA